AUACUUACCUGGUGUCGGAUAGUCUAUGAUCAAUGAGGUAGGCUUCCCGGGUGGAGACCAAGGCAUUGCACUUCGCCUUGGUUGAAUCCCGCCACUUCCCCAAAUCGGGGUAGAUGGGACAUGCAAUUUUUGGUAGUGGGGGGGCUUGCGUACGCGCUCGCUCCCC